GAUGAAAUGACACCGUCUUUAAAAAACAUUUUAAAUUGGCUCUAGGUGCGAAAUUAUCAACAAGUUGUUGUUGUCCAUCAUUCAGCGUAGUCGGAGUCUUGAACACGUUCAUGUAAUGGCCAGGAUUUCCUGGAUCAGGGUAAUGUGCUGGAACCAUACAGAAUAUCCCAUAAACAUAGAACAUAUCAUUCUUACAAAUCGUAUGCUUUUUUGUUUUUGGAACUGCUACUUUUUGGCGGGUAAAUUACUUCACAAACCUAGCGCCAAAAAAUUUAAAAUAAGCUAUAGGUGAUUUCAUGUAUCCAUUUAGAAGAGCAGACUAAGGAUAUCUUAGAACUGAAAUCGGUUUCGAAUACAACCAUCAGGGACGUAGCAAAGCAUCUGACGUUUGGGG